AUGGGUCCCAAAUGUCCCUGGCUCCUGUGGGUCCCAGGCUCCCCCGUCGCCUGCCCCGGCAGACAAGGAGGGGUCAUUUACCGCGAAGACGAAAAUCUUUCCAGGAAGUUUGUACCUAUUAAUAUUGCUGUUCCUGGCAGCAGCUCUCCGCGCGGGGCGGGGGCAGGGCAGACCCUGCCGCUGCUUCUACCGCCUAGUGUCCGCCUCUGGCCCGGGGCAAGGAGCGGAGGGCAGCUCCAGGUUCCCACGCCUACGGCGGGGGCAGGACCUGCUCGGAUGCUCAAGGCGCCAGAGCCCAGCGGCUUGCCCGCGAGCAGCGCGCGGUGGGACCCGGAAGAUCCCGAGGCCAAGGCGCAAACCAAGAGCUGGGACUCGGGAGGGGGAAGGGAGAGGGAGGAGAGGGAUCCUUGCAUCGGUUACCAGAGGCCGCUAGGCCGCGCCGUUCCCCCAAAAGAAAGCUGGUCCCGGAAGCAGGAACUCUGUCCAGCUCUGCGUGGAGGGCAGUGCCCACAAGUCACCAGUAUUGAGACACGGAAGGACAGAGGAUGCCUGAUGUGGAGAUCUCUCCUGGGCAUUUCAGCCUCUCCCUACAGACGCCAGCAGGAGAUCCAUUCUGGAAGCUUAAGCCCGCAAACAGGGCUGCCUCUUCAGCUUCCAGCCUUGUCCAAAGCACUUGGCUUCUCGUUUCCUCCAUACCCAGAAGGUACCACGAGAGGGAAAAGGUCCUGUGAGACUAAUGCUCUGGAUUCGCUUGGGUGGGCCAGGCAACCCAUCACCUUCCCUUUGGGCUGCAGAAAGCUGUGAGGUUGCCUCGGGUAGAUCCCUGGAACAAAGAUUGGUAGCAUCAGCUGUUUUACUGCAGAGCUAGGCACACAAUCCUUGCUAAAAAUAAACACAAAGGAAAACCCCA
rnacentral:lncRNA from 1 species